GGUGUUAAACCGGAGGAAGUGGGGAUGACGUCAAGUCCUCAUGGCCUUUAUGCCCAGGGCUACACACGUGCUACAAUGGGUGGUACAAAGAGAGGCAAGCUCGCGAGAGUAAGCAAAUCUACAAAAAGCCAUCCUCAGUUCGGAUUGGAGUCUGCAACUCGACCCCAUGAAGUCGGAAUCGCUAGUAAUCGCGGAUCAGCAUGCCGCGGUGAAUACGUUCCCGGGCCUU
rnacentral:rRNA from 1 species